AUGCUGGUAGUCACUGUUCUACUUUCUGUCCCUAUGAAUUUGAAUACUGUAGAUUCAUCAUCUGGACCUUGCAGCUAUGAAGAAACACAGGUCACUGAUACACCGAAGAUGACAGAGGAGCAAGAAAGAAUCUGGACUCAUCAGUCAGCUGGGAACCCUGGUUUGGAUUCACCUACUUCUGUACUUCUGUUUGCUCUGUACUAGGAUGAGGAGGGGUCUUUAGUCUGCUCAGGAGUUGAGCAGAAAUUGUGAGCAAAGAGGAAGGUUCAAAUGUUAUCCAUAUUUUUGUCAUAGUUAAGAGGACAACCACAGUUUUACAGCAGAAUUAGACAUGU
rnacentral:lncRNA from 13 species